AGCGAACGCUGGCGGCAGGCCUAACACAUGCAAGUCGAACGGACCCUUCGGGGUUAGUGGCGGACGGGUGAGUAACACGUGGGAACGUGCCUUUAGGUUCGGCAUAGCUCCUGGAAACGGGUGGUAAUGCCGAAUGUGCCCUUCGGGGGAAAGAUUUAUCGCCUUUAGAGCGGCCCGCGUCUGAUUAGCUAGUCGGUGAGGUAAUGGCUCACCAAGGCGACGAUCAGUAGCUGGUCUGAGAGGAUGACCAGCCACAUUGGGACUGAGACACGGCCCAAACUCCUACGGGAGGCAGCAGUGGGGAAUCUUGCGCAAUGGGCGAAAGCCUGACGCAGCCAUGCCGCGUGGAUGAUGAAGGUCUUAGGAUUGUAAAAUCCUUUCACCGGUGAAGAUAAUGACUGUAGCCGGAGAAGAAGCCCCGGCUAACUUCGUGCCAGCCGCCGCGGUAAGAC
rnacentral:rRNA from 1 species